rnacentral:rRNA from 1 species
GAUGAACGCUGGCGGCGUGCCUAAUACAUGCCAGUCGAGCGAACAGACGAGGAGCUUGCUCCUCUGACGUUAGCGGCGGACGGGUGAGUAACACGUGGAUAACCUACCUAUAAGACUGGGAUAACUUCGGGAAACCGGAGCUAAUACCGGAUAAUAUAUUGAACCGCAUGGUUCAAUAGUGAAAGACGGUUUUGCUGUCACUUAUAGAUGGAUCCGCGCCGCAUUAGCUAGUUGGUAAGGUAACGGCUUACCAAGGCGACGAUGCGUAGCCGACCUGAGAGGGUGAUCGGCCACACUGGAACUGAGACACGGUCCAGACUCCUACGGGAGGCAGCAGUAGGGAAUCUUCCGCAAUGGGCGAAAGCCUGACGGAGCAACGCCGCGUGAGUGAUGAAGGCCUUCGGAUCGUAAAACUCUGUUAUUAGGGAAGAACAAAUGUGUAAGUAACUAUGCACGUCUUGACGGUACCUAAUCAGAAAGCCACGGCUAACUACGUG